rnacentral:rRNA from 1 species
AUUGAACGCUGGCGGCAGGCUUAACACAUGCAAGUCGAGCGGAGAUGAGGUGCUUGCACCUUAUCUUAGCGGCGGACGGGUGAGUAAUGCUUAGGAAUCUGCCUAUUAGUGGGGGACAACAUUCCGAAAGGAAUGCUAAUACCGCAUACGUCCUACGGGAGAAAGCAGGGGAUCUUCGGACCUUGCGCUAAUAGAUGAGCCUAAGUCGGAUUAGCUAGUUGGUGGGGUAAAGGCCUACCAAGGCGACGAUCUGUAGCGGGUCUGAGAGGAUGCUCCGCCACACUGGGACUGAGACACGGCCCAGACUCCUACGGGAGGCAGCAGUGGGGAAUAUUGGACAAUGGGGGAAACCCUGAUCCAGCCAUGCCGCGUGUGUGAAGAAGGCCUUAUGGUUGUAAAGCACUUUAAGCGAGGAGGAGGCUACUGAGACUAAUACUCUUGGAUAGUGGACGUUACUCGCAGAAUAAGCACCGGCUAACUCUGUGCCAGCAGCCGCGGUAACAC